GUAGGACAUCGGCAAACCCGGGGAAAUCCGGCGACGCAAAGCUAUAGGGACUGUAAAAUGUCAGCCAGCUGCAAUC
rnacentral:ncRNA from 1 species